UACGAAGGGGGCUAGCGUUGCUCGGAAUUACUGGGCGUAAAGGGCGCGUAGGCGUAUAGUUUAGUCAGAGGUAAAAGCCCAGGGCUCAACCUUGGAACUGCCUUUGAUACUGGCUAUCUUGAGUUCGGGAGAGGUGAGUGGAAUGCCAAGUGUAGAGGUGAAAUUCGUAGAUAUUCGGAGGAACACCAGUGGCGAAGGCGGCUCACUGGCUCGAUACUGGCUCUGAGGUGCGAAAGCGUGGGGAGCAAACAGG
rnacentral:rRNA from 1 species